AGUGAACGCUGGCGGUAGGCCUAACACAUGCAAGUCGAACGGCAGCACAGUAAGAGCUUGCUCUUACGGGUGGCGAGUGGCGGACGGGUGAGGAAUACAUCGGAAUCUACUUUUUCGUGGGGGAUAACGUAGGGAAACUUACGCUAAUACCGCAUACGACCUACGGGUGAAAGCAGUGGAUCUUCGGACCUUGCGCGAUUGAAUGAGCCGAUGUCGGAUUAGCUAGUUGGCGGGGUAAAUGCCCACCAAGGCGACGAUCCGUAGCUGGUCUGAGAGACUGAUAAGCCACAUUGGAACGUAGACACGGUCCAGACUCCUACGGGAGGCAGCAGUGGGGAAUAUUGGACAAUGGGCGCAAGCCUGAUCCAGCCAUACCGCGUGGGUGAAGAAGGCGUUCGGGUUGUAAAGCCCUUUUGUUGGGAAAGAAAAGCAGCAGGUUAAUACCCCGCUGUUCUGACGGUACCCAAAGAAUAAGCACCGGCUAACUUCGUG
rnacentral:rRNA from 1 species